UAGUCCAUGUACAUUUUGUUCAUUUCAAAACAAUAUCAGAUCUAUUGUCUUUACUGACUUCAUAUAUUAUAUCCGUAUAUUACAGGUAUGCCGAUGUUGGUAAACAUAAGUUUGACGUUACAACGUAUAACAACUGUACACAAAUGUGGUUUAUGAUUGUCGAUUUUACUGAUGUAGGUCGUGUUCGGAACCAGAAUUGCUUUAAGAUUCCAAAUUUAGAUGCGCCAUUUUUCGUGUAUUCGACUAAAGGCACACAUGCGAACACUCCUGGAGACGUUGAUUUUGCUGAUGUCUUAGUCAUAUAUGGUGACGUAGAAACCUAAACAUUCAGAUCGAUAUUUUGCCAAGAUAAUCUAACUCGUUUUGGCACUUUAAGGUUGUCAAUUUAACACUGUAAGAACAUUUGUGAAUAUCGUUUUUUAUAUGUACAAACAUUGGUUUUGUUAGCAAUAAAUAAAUAAAUACUAAA